UUUUUUUGUUGUCACGGUUUUGAUCGUUCUCAAGAAUUUUCAAUUUGGCCGGCCAAUUUAAAGUUUGGAUAAUGCUGAGCGUAAAACAAAAUUCAAGAAGUAAAAAAGUUGUUCGGUUAACAAAAGGCGUUCGCAAUAUAAAAAUCUAAAGUUCAUUGAGUUAUGGUCGUUGUUGUCCGAAUAUUUUGAAUUGUUUCGCUGAAAAUUUAGUCGGUGUGUUUUGUUCGUUAAUUUACCGGAUGAUGAUUAGAGCAACGGCUGUUGGAGUCCGAGGACACUGGCACGUUACUGGUUCCAGUGGGCAUUUAUGCUCUUUGAAGGAAACAACACACUAGACAACAGACAAGCAUGACAACGGCAUGAACUUUACCUCCAAGUAAAGCAAGAAUCCAGACCACAAACACGCCCUGCUUAAAAGAUGAUAAAUUAACAAAAUUCCUGAAACACCAGAAAUUCAACAAUAGGAAGAUGGCGGUUUGUUUUCAAGAGCUGUGUGGCUUCAGGAUUUUGACGACGGUGUCAUCAAUCAGAUUUAUUGCUUAAAAUAACUCCUUUAAAUGAUUAUCAAUAUUUUUUGUUUUAAUAAAGGCAAAUACUACUGUUCGCAAA